CCUACGGGAGGCAGCAGUGAGGAAUAUUGGUCAAUGGGCGGGAGCCUGAACCAGCCAAGUCGCGUGAGGGAAGACGGUCCUAUGGAUUGUAAACCUCUUUAGGCGGGGAGCAAUGCCGGGCACGCGUGCCCGGAGGGAGAGUACCCGCAGAAUAAGCAUCGGCUAACUCCGUGCCAGCAGCCGCGGUAAUACGGAGGAUGCGAGCGGUAUCCGGAUUGAUUGGGUUUAAAGGGUGCGUAGGCGGAUGUUUAAGUCAGCGGUAAAAUGUCCGGACUAAACCCGGGCCGGCCGUUGAAACUGGGGAUCUUGAGUGGGCGAGAAGCAUGCGGAAUGCGUGGUGUAGCGGUGAAAUGCAUAGAUAUCACGCAGAACUCCGAUUGCGAAGGCAGCAUACCGGCGCCCGACUGACGCUGAGGCACGAAAGCGUGGGGAUCGAACAGGAUUAGAUACCCCGGUAGUC
rnacentral:rRNA from 1 species